ACACACACACACACACACACACACACACACACACACACACACACACACACACACACACACACACACACACACACACACACACGGUACGCUCCGUUCUGACAGACAGCAUGCUGGCAGUUAAGAAGAGCUGUGAUUGGGCAAAGACAUCUUUCUUCUCAACAAAAGCUUAAGUGCAGUCAUUCUUCUCUUAGUGAAAAUAUACCGUCCAGUUUACAACGGCAGCCAACUUUGUUGUUGUUGAAAACGCAUCUACGUCACUCCUCUGCACGUCCUCUAUUCAUCAGUGAUUGCUCGGUCUAUCUCGUACCGGGCUCGUGAGGUUUCAUCCUGUUUAUUGAGUCAGACAGGAAGGUCAGGGAGAGAGACACCCGGACCACGGCAACCGGGUCCCCGGUCGCUGUAGUGAGGGUCCAUGGUCGCCGUGCUGUGGACUGGGCCUUAGUAGGACGCGCUCAAACCGGUGAUCCACCGGGCGCCCGUGAAGAUAUCUUUUGGUUUGGGAUAGUCUCCACCAGAAGGUCUCUAGUCUCCACCAGAAGGUCUCCAGUCUCCAGUAGAAGGUCUCUAGUCUCCACCAGAAGGUCUCUAGUCUCCAGUAGAAGGUCUCUAGUCCCCAGUAGAAGGUCUCCAGUCUCCACCAGAAGGUCUCUAGUCUCCAGUAAAAGGUCUCCAGUCUCCAGUAGAAGGUCUCCAGUCUCCAGUAGAAGGUCUCUAGUCCCCAGUAAAAGGUCUCCAGUCUCCAGUAGAAGGUCUCCAGUCUCCAGUAGAAGGUCUCUAGUCUCCACCAGAAGGUCUCUAGUCUCCACCAGAAGGUCUCUAGUCCCCAGUAGAAGGUCUCCAGUCUCCACCAGAAGGUCUCUAGUCUCCACCAGAAGGUCUCCAGUCUCCACCAGAAGGUCUCUAGUCUCCAGUAGAAGGUCUCUAGUCUCCACCAGAAGGUCUCUAGUCCCCAGUAGAAGGUCUCCAGUCUCCAGUAGAAGGUCUCCAGUCUCCAGUAGAAGGUCUCUAGUCUCCACCAGAAGGUCUCCAGUCUCCACCAGAAGGUCUCUAGUCUCCAGUAGAAGGUCUCUAGUCUCCACCAGAAGGUCUCUAGUCCCCAGUAGAAGGUCUCCAGUCUCCACCAGAAGGUCUCUAGUCUCCAGUAGAAGGACUCCAGUCUCUAGUCUCCAGUAGAAGGUGUUCAGCAGGUGGUCUCCAGGGUCUCCAGGGUGCCGCGGCCCAAGAUCACCCGGUCAGUUCCGUUCUGUGAGGGGCAUCCCAGGAGCAGGGAGCAACAACCAGGAGCCCCAGACCACAGACUGCAGCUCCCGAGUCAGAGGAGCUAACCCGUCAUUGUCCCUGAGCACUUAAACACCGCCUGGGGAGAAGUGGGCGGGGAGACAGCCCCAAAUGAAAGGAUUAAUGAGUACCUGCAGGGCAGCGGCCACCCGAUGUAAUCGCCCCCCCAACCCCAGCCGGUGUUUAGCGGUGGUGGAGUGGAGGGAGCGGACAGACGGCUGAAUAUCAGCUUUGAUGUUCCUGCUGAAGAACUGAACCAGAGAUAUAAACCAUAACAACCACACCUGUUACACCUGAACAGAUCUAGCAGUAGAAGAACCGACGGUAGCAACACUCUGCCAGAGACCUUCAGACCCCCAGUCUCAGAGGAUGCAUCGCGGGGGCGGUUUUCGGCUUCCAGGAGAUAUGCCGUCUCUGCUUCACAAAGCUAAGCUUUGAUUUAAUUCAUUUCCAUGAGUUGAUAGCUGGUAUCAAGUGUAAUGGGACAACAUGGAGGCUGGCUGACGCCGUGGGGGUACACUGUCCAGGUGGGACCCGCCUGGGACCAGGGCCCGGGAGGAGGAGAACCUCAGGGUACCAGAGGGCUGGUUCUUGUCUCCACGGUCUCUCAGAGCUCAGGGUACCAGAGGGCUGGUUCUGGUGUCUCCACGGUCUCUCUCUGGAGCUGUAACGCUGGCAGAGGUCACACUUUAUAUGUGAACUAAAACAUGGCCUCUCUUCCCGGGACAGUCCCUCUUCCCUUCUUUCCAAAGGAAGAGCAAUGACCAAACAUGGGCAUUCUCGCUCCUGUCCGUCUUCCUCUGGAACCUAACCUGUGGCUGGGACCCUCGCUGGGGGACCUUUAAACCAGUGAUACCAUCAGUGGAGGCUCAUCCAUCCUGUUCCAAACUGACCUGAAGAACUCCCAUGUAGAUUUGAAAUGUGUACAAUGUACACUUUAUUCUGUAUUUAGAAUCAUGGUGAAGGAUUCACAAGCCUUCACAGUCUGUAUAAAUCAUAACGUACAAUACAGAGUUGGCAAUUACUGUCGACCAAGUAGAUAUAAUAUCACUCCACUCAGGGAUGAUUCUGUCUGAGCAGCAUGCCUAGAAAGUCUUAUGCUGGCCAGGGUUUCAGCUCCCGUGGGAGUUUGGUUUUUACGAGAGUCUCACAGAGACGUGCUCCAGCACAAUUUCCCCCCGGAUACAAAGUGAGGCUAUCGCCUCUUAGAUCUGUUAUGAGCCAGGCACACAUCCUAACAAUCUCUGGAAACUCUCCCUUAGUAAAAUAUCUGAGAUCCGCUGUGGAUCAGUCGUGCUUGAAUACGGUUCUCCAAAGCAGUUUAAACAAUGCACAUCAUCGUAAACUCUCAACACCCAUGUCUUGUCUUUUCUUUUAUGUCUGUGUGAAUUUUUAAUUGUGACUGGAGCCAUGUCAAUAACAUUUUCUGUAACCCUUGUGUAACAGACAAUAAAUUCGAAUUUAUCUUAUGUUAUCUA
ensembl:lncRNA